AACGAACGCUGGCGGCAUGCCUAACACAUGCAAGUCGAACGAGACCUUCGGGUCUAGUGGCGCACGGGUGCGUAACGCGUGGGAAUCUGCCCUUAGGUUCGGAAUAACUUCGGGAAACUGAAGCUAAUACCGGAUGAUGACGUAAGUCCAAAGAUUUAUCGCCUAAGGAUGAGCCCGCGUUGGAUUAGCUAGUUGGUGAGGUAAAGGCUCACCAAGGCGACGAUCCAUAGCUGGUCUGAGAGGACGACCAGCCACACUGGAACUGAGACACGGUCCAGACUCCUACGGGAGGCAGCAGUGGGGAAUUUUGGACAAUGGACGCAAGUCUGAUCCAGCCAUUCCGCGUGCAGGAUGAAGGCCCUCGGGUUGUAAACUGCUUUUGUACGGAACGAAACGGUGAGCUCUAAUACAGUUUGCUAAUGACGGUACCGUAAGAAUAAGCACCGGCUAACUACGUGCCAGCAGCCGCGGUAAAGUGACUACUG
rnacentral:rRNA from 1 species